rnacentral:rRNA from 1 species
GGGGAAUAUUGCACAAUGGAGUAAACUCUGAUGCAGCGACGCCGCGUGAACGAUGAAGGCCUUCGGGUUGUAAACCUCUUUCAGCAGGGAAGAAGCGAAAGUGACGGUACCUGCAGAAGAAGCGCCGGCUAACUACGUGCCAGCAGCCGCGGUAAUACGUAGGGGGCAAGCGUUAUCCGGAAUUACUGGGCGUAAAGGGUGCGUAGGCGGUUUAUCAAGUCAGGGGGGAAAGGCUACGGCUCAACCGUAGUGAGCCUCUGAAACUGGUGAACUUGAGUGUAGGAGAGGAAAGUGGAAUUCCCAGUGUAGCGGUGAAAUGCGUAGAUAUUGGGAGGAACACCAGUGGCGAAGGCGACUUUCUGGACUACAACUGACGCUGAGGCACGAAAGCGUGGGGAGCAUACA